AUGUCUCUCUGUAGCUAAUACCCUUCCUCCUAUUCCAAGUGUUUGGCUACUUGGAAUCAUACUGUGCGUAGUGUUUUGUGUCUAGAUUCUCUCAUUUGGCAUAAUCCUUUCAAGAGUCAUCUAUUUCACAUAUAUCAGUGAGUUCUUUUUUUAUUGCUGGGUGGUAUUCCAUUGUAUAUGUACCAUAUUUGUUUAUGCGUUUUCCACUUGUUAGAAAAUCAGCUUUUGACUGUUAAGAGUAAAGCUAUUUGCAUGUAGAUUUUUAUAUAGGCAUGGGUAAGUUUUUCUAUUGGGUAAGUAACUAGGAAUCAAGGUUGCUGG
rnacentral:lncRNA from 10 species